rnacentral:rRNA from 1 species
UACGAAGGGGGCUAGCGUUGCUCGGAAUCACUGGGCGUAAAGCGCACGUAGGCGGGUCUUUAAGUCAGGGGUGAAAUCCUGGAGCUCAACUCCAGAACUGCCUUUGAUACUGAGGAUCUUGAGUCCGGGAGAGGUGAGUGGAACUGCGAGUGUAGAGGUGAAAUUCGUAGAUAUUCGGAAGAACACCAGUGGCGAAGGCGGCUCACUGGCCCGGUACUGACGCUGAGGUGCGAAAGCGUGGGGAGCAAACAGG